rnacentral:lncRNA from 1 species
CCACUCUGCCAUUUUGGGAAUGCAGCCAUAGACAAUAUACAAUAGAGUACACAAAGGAAUGAACAUGACUAUUUUCCAAUAAAACUUGCUUUAAAAGAAGUCAGCAGGCCACAUUUGCAAGUUGUGGUUUGCUGGUCACUAGUCUACAAGUUUUUUUCAGUGCUAACUAUCCAUUGGGUCAUCUUGAGCUUUCAUUCAUUUACUCCCAGACUGUGACCAGAGUUUAAUUUUAAAAAUGAAAAACAGUCCCUUAAAUUUAGCACUGUAUUGGAAUUAGCUACAUUUUUUCACAGACAGAAACUGGGAAUGGCACAGUGAACUCAUAUCUAACUUGGCUGACUUCUUUCAUAUGAAAAGAAAAUUUAACAGGUGCCAUUAAAAAGCAAUACCAUUUUUCAGGCAACAUUAACUGCAGUAGCCUUUGGGAGAGGGGAGGACAUUGAGUUUUAAGUUCUUUCAAAAGUAGUAUCACCAACUAUUUUAUCUUAAACGCAGCUGUGUUGCUACAAAAGUGGUUUGGACUAGAAGGUAUUUUACCUUCAUAGUAGAGUUUGAACUCCCUCUACUGUUCAUUAGAAUAUUUGCAAAGAUUUUACAAAAGAUAGAUUAGGAUAUCAUUGUCCCCCAAAUGAACAGAUGUCUACAUAUUUCACUAAGCAUUAAAUAGGGUAAGCACUAAUUCCUUACUCAAUAUUCACUGUAUUAAGCAAUGUAUAAAUCAUUUCUAAGCAAACAGGUUGUCAGGACGAUGAGAACUUUACCUUCGACCAAGGAUCUAAACAAGGAAAAGCCUAAAAACAAAUUUCAUUUCAACUGUCUUAUUAAAGAGGAAGACAGAAAUAAUAACUGUGAUUGUCAAUAUAUGUAACUCAGGGGUCGUCCAGAUAAUCCUCAAGUUGAUCUCUUUGAAAAAAGUGAGCUCCAUUUGUCCAAAAUGGUUGAGAAAGUCUAUCACAGUUACUUGAAAAAUUCAGCUAACAGUUUUAUGAAAUGCAUGCCACCCCCCACAUCCUUGAAAUUGUUGACCAGAAUUAAAUAUUGUUACUACUAAUACUAAGGAUACUGCAAAAGGUCUUUCAUUGAGAAGGCAGAUCAGUAUCAUCCUACCUAUACUGUUAAAAUGAAAUGAAUAGAUCCAAAUUCUACAAUGUUAUGAAAAUACAAGAUGAUUUUACUCAUAGAAAUUUUACCUUUUAAAACACUAUAUACAUGGAGGAAACUAGUUCAGUGUGACCUAACUCUUGGGAACAUACUGGAAGUUCAUCAUUAUGAUAAAUGAGUACUGGAUGGCCUUUUUUAGAAAACUACAAGGAGGAGAAUGUAGGUAACUGACUAUUUUGGACAAAUGAAAGGUUACUGUAUUCAUGUUCAUAACAUGAAAAUGGCCUUAUUUUUGUUCCUGGUCUGAGUCAAUAAUGAGUUAAGUAAUUUACUGAAAUUUCAUCAAAACCUUAUUCCUCCUGUUCAUUCUAAGAAUUUAGGAGGGGAAUAUAGUAGUAACUUCUCUAUUGACACUUUUGCCUUACCAAAAUGGUCUGUGAGUCCACAAAGAUUAAGAAUUAUUGUUCCAGAAUUAUGAAGGUCUACUUGGUGUGAAAAAGAAAUGAAAAACAUUGACACGAUAUUAUGCUAUUUUGUUGGACUGUUUCAGUUUAAGCCACAGACAAGUGGCAUAACUGAUCUCUUGAAAGGGGGUGAUUUGCUCAUUCAUCAUUAUCUAAUCUAGGAAACUGACCAUAAUCAUUAUCUCAAAGACUUUUUGAGGACAUUAUGAUGUAGCUUAAAGCUGAAUUGAAAAGGAGUGCAUAAAAGCAUGUUCUUUAAUUACUUACAACAAAGCACAAAAUACUUAUAACAAGACAAAUACUUAUGGAAUCAUCUUAUGUAAGACAUUCUGCUAAGCACUGUAAAAUAUUACAGCUUUUGUUUACAUACAUAUGUAAGACGUUCAAAAGAAGGAAAAAAUGCUUAAUGAGUUAAAAUGACACUCACAUCACCCUUCACUCUAGAUUUGGUAUUCAGUGUGGUUGGUAUUUUUCCUUCUAUGUCCAUGCUCUUAGGCUUUGGCUAUCUCACUCCUCCACCCUCAGGCAGAUGGCAGGGGUCACGAUGGCUUAAUUAGAGCCCUUUAGAGUUCCUGGACAUUUCAACGUAUAGUCACUUAUUUAAAGCUUCUUACAGGAAGCAAGUUAACACCUCUCAAUUUUUUUUAACCUCCUCUAACUCCUUUUAUAUCCCUGCUCCUUUAUAAUGAUUUGCUCUCCCUGGUUUCUGUCUACUCUGCUCUCCUUUCAACAACUAAUCUUUUCUGCUUCCCCCAGAACCACUUCCUACUAACAUGCCUCAAUUUUUAAUAAGGAAAAAAAGUGACUAUCUAUAUGUCCCUCUUAUUGGAGUUAAAGUGUCAUGGAAAGUGUGAAUAUUUCUGUUUAAACAGAAUGUACUGGUCAAAGACAUGAGUAAAAAAGAAAAGAAAUGAAAGCUGUGAAGACAUGCCAAAACUAACCCUUUCUGUAAAAGUAUCAAUUCCCAUCUUAGAUUUAGUCCUACACAGUACUCUCUCCCUUAACCUACCUUCCUUUUGCCUUUUUCUUCACAUACCACCCUACAAGACAGCGAGGGAGGCUUGCACUUUCCAAACUUUUACAAGGAGGGCCUAUUCUUAGGCUCAAUCAGGGCUUGAAUAGAUUUGCAAAGAUCAGGCUUUCCUGGGGAGUUCCCUGGUGGUCUAGUGGUUAGGAUUUGCCACUGCAGCCUGGGUCAAUGCCUCGUCUGAGAAUUGUGAUCCCAUAUCAAACCACUGCACACCAUGCCCCCCCCCAAAAAAAACAAAACAAAACAAAACAAAAAAACAGGUUUUCUCAAAUGAUCCAGGGUCUCACUAUGUUUAAGAUUAUUACCCAAUUCCAGUGUGCUUUUUGUUCUAUUUCCCCUCUAAGCUUGAGAGUGUUGAAAGGAGAGCAGUGCAGAACAGGUAUGUGAGGAUUCACAGUAGUGACCUUUCUUGUCCUACCUGGUCCUGCUCUGCAGCAGACAUGACUCUUUAUAAAAAAGAUGUUUUGCAGUGGGAUAUGAUAAUUCUAACAGGGACACUGAAAAAUGGUUAUGUCUACAUUAUUAAAUGAGUGAAACAAAUACUAAAUGGAUAGUUAAUUUUGUAGUUUUACGUUUUUUGUGCUUUUACCAAGCCAGGUUUUUAAAACAGGCAGUUGUAUGAAGACCUUUAGUUUGGAGUGUCAUGUUUCCAAUGAUCAAAAAUCUCUUGUCUACUUAGAAUAUCAUUGGGUGUCUACUUAGAGUAUCAUUGGGUAUCAUUCUUAAGGUUGUGUUUUAUAGAUUUUUUUUUUCUUUUAAGCAACAGUUUCUAGAUUAUCUACUUCAAUUCCUCAAUGAACUCUUUCAAACUAUUUUUCAGGACUCUAUGUUUAUUUUGUAAAAGUUAAACAUUAAAAUUUCCUUUCUGGUACUUUUUCCUGCCUAUUUUUAGCACAGAUUUGAAGCAAUCAAUAUCUGUCAUUGUAAAAUAUAACUAUUAAAUUUGAGAUAUGUCUUUCUAUAAAUUAUAAUCCCCAAUUGUGUUUUUUGUUAAUUACUUAAAUAUUUAUAUUUAUUUUGUUUAAAUAAGGAGGCAGCUGUCUAAGAAGUUUUUGUUAAUAUUACUUUGUAAAUUGUGUAAUUUAUUUUAAAUUAUGUACAUUUCUUUUUUAAUGCACAAAAUGUCUAUGUACAAUUAACUACAGAUUUGCAAAUAAUGUCACUAAGCUUUAUUCAGUUAAUACAGAUGGCAUGUGAAGAUGUAAUAUGCUUUUUUUACAUUUUCAUAUGGGUUAUUUGUAAAUAACUAUGUUGCUGACAAACAUAAACACAGAUAUCAUUUUCAUU